UCACAACUGUCUCCUAACAGGGGGCUGAGUUUUCUCGAGAAGGCAGAGCUGUGCUCUAGAGAAGAUGAGAGUGCUGGGUCUCCUCCUGUGCCUGGUGACAGCCCCCCUGGGUGUCCUGUCCCAGGUGCAGCUGCAGGAGUCUGGCCCAGGACUGGUGAAGCCCUCACAGACCCUCCCCCUCACCUGCUCUGUCUCUGGUUACUCCAUCACCAGUGGUUACUGCUGGGGCUGGAUCCGCCAGCCUCCAGGGAAAGGGCUGGAGUCGAUCGGAUAUAUAUGUAGUAAUGGGAACACUUACUACAGCCCGUCCCUCAAGAGCCGCACCACCAUCUCCAGAGACACAUCCAAGAACCAGUUUUCUCUGCAGCUGAGAUCCGUGACCACCGAGGACACAGCUAUAUAUUACUGUGCAAGAGACACAGUGAGGGGAAGUCAGUGUGGACACUCUCGCAUGCAGCUGCUGCAGCCUUGUGAUCAGCUGAGGAAGCUUGGGGCCUCAGUGCAGGUCUCCUGGAAGCCUUCUGUAUGGAGCUUCACCAGCUAUGCAUUGCUCUGUGUGGGAGAGGCCCAGGAGAUGGACUGCAGUAUGUGA